ensembl:lncRNA
CCGUGAGCUUUGCAGGGUGCAGCAUCUCUUCUGAGCUGCUCCUGGAGCACUGCUCCUGCAGGGCCUGCUUUGCUGCCGGGAAGAAGCACCUCACAGUGUGGAUGCAGUGAUAGGCAGAGAGGAGCUUCUGCACGGUAAAAGUGCCCCUCCUCAGCGGGCUCUUGUUUUCAUUAAGGAAAGUCCCUACCUUGCAGAAGUGCUGAAUAUUCAGGUGUCUUCAGGGACCUUGGGAUCACCUUGCCAUCAGGUUUGAAAGGCUCGCUAACAAGCUAACAAAAGGAAUAACAGCCUAGAAAUGCAAGGGUUUUCCUUACUUGCCUCGCUAACACGUUAUGUCUGUAAUGAUGCUGUAGCCAGAAAUUACUCCCCAUUUGUAUCCUUACUCCUGUGUCUGAAAACUUCCCCAUGCAGGAGGUUAUGCUCUGCUGUGGUUUAAUGCCCUGGUCUGGCUGCUCGCUGCAGACCUACUCUGCGCUGGUUUCUACUGAGACACUGAAGAAAACAGACUGCCCUUCUUGCUGAUGCUGCACAACGUUUGAGGACUUGCGGUCACUGAGGAUGUGAGUGUAACAAACCAGAGGACAGCUGCAGAGAUCUGUGUUUUCUUCCCUUGCCAGGAAAAGCCGGAGUGCAAAAACACCUAAGGCCUUCCUGGAGAAAGCUCUAUGGAGUAGAAGCACUGUAGAUGAGUGAUAUUUCUUCAACCAUCUGCUCCUUCCGCACUCACACGAGGGCAGGCCAGCUCCGUGUGAGUGCAGCAAUAGUGGGAAGCUGCCCUGCGGACCUUGGGAUUUUUCUAUUCCUAGUCAAGGGAGAAACAAAUACCACCACCCAGCACACCUCCCAGGCUGCGUGCUUUGCUAUAUGGUGUAUGAUUUCACAAGAGCCUUCCAUAAGCUGUACGGAGCAGUGACACCUUUA